rnacentral:rRNA from 1 species
UACGUAGGGUGCAAGCGUUGUCCGGAAUUAUUGGGCGUAAAGAGCUCGUAGGCGGUCUGUCGCGUCUGCUGUGAAAACCCGGGGCUCAACUCCGGGCUUGCAGUGGAUACGGGCAGACUAGAGUUCGGUAGGGGAGACUGGAAUUCCUGGUGUAGCGGUGAAAUGCGCAGAUAUCAGGAGGAACACCGGUGGCGAAGGCGGGUCUCUGGGCCGAUGCUGACGCUGAGGAGCGAAAGCGUGGGGAGCGAACAGG